UGCUUAACACAUGCAAGUCGAACGAUGAAGCCCAGCUUGCUGGGUGGAUUAGUGGCGAACGGGUGAGUAACACGUGAGUAACCUGCCCCCGACUCUGGGAUAAGCCCGGGAAACUGGGUCUAAUACCGGAUAUUACCUUUGACCGCAUGGUUGUUGGUGGAAAGAUUUAUCGGUGGGGGAUGGACUCGCGGCCUAUCAGCUUGUUGGUGAGGUAAUGGCUCACCAAGGCGACGACGGGUAGCCGGCCUGAGAGGGUGACCGGCCACACUGGGACUGAGACACGGCCCAGACUCCUACGGGAGGCAGCAGUGGGGAAUAUUGCACAAUGGGCGAAAGCCUGAUGCAGCGACGCCGCGUGAGGGAUGACGGCCUUCGGGUUGUAAACCUCUUUCAGUAGGGAAGAAGCGAAAGUGACGGUACCUGCAGAAGAAGCGCCGGCUAACUACGUGCCAGCAGCCGCGGUAAUACGUAGGGCGCAAGCGUUAUCCGGAUUUAUUGGGCGUAAAGAGCUCGUAGGCGGUUUGUCGCGUCUGCCGUGAAAGUCCGAGGCUCAACCUCGGAUCUGCGGUGGGUACGGGCAGACUAGAGUGAUGUAGGGGAGACUGGAAUUCCUGGUGUAGCGGUGAAAUGCGCAGAUAUCAGGAGGAACACCGAUGGCGAAGGCAGGUCUCUGGGCAUUUACUGACGCUGAGGAGCGAAAGCAUGGGGAGCGAACAGGAUUAGAUACCCUGGUAGUCCAUGCCGUAAACGUUGGGCACUAGGUGUGGGGGACAUUCCACGUUUUCCGCGCCGUAGCUAACGCAUUAAGUGCCCCGCCUGGGGAGUACGGCCGCAAGGCUAAAACUCAAAGGAAUUGACGGGGGCCCGCACAAGCGGCGGAGCAUGCGGAUUAAUUCGAUGCAACGCGAAGAACCUUACCAAGGCUUGACAUGUGCCAGACCGCCUCAGAGAUGGGGUUUCCCUUCGGGGCUGGUUCACAGGUGGUGCAUGGUUGUCGUCAGCUCGUGUCGUGAGAUGUUGGGUUAAGUCCCGCAACGAGCGCAACCCUCGUUCCAUGUUGCCAGCACGUAAAGGUGGGGACUCAUGGGAGACUGCCGGGGUCAACUCGGAGGAAGGUGGGGAUGACGUCAAAUCAUCAUGCCCCUUAUGUCUUGGGCUUCACGCAUGCUACAAUGGCCGGUACAAUGGGUUGCGAUACUGUGAGGUGGAGCUAAUCCCUAAAAGCCGGUCUCAGUUCGGAUUGGGGUCUGCAACUCGACCCCAUGAAGUCGGAGUCGCUAGUAAUCGCAGAUCAGCAACGCUGCGGUGAAUACGUUCCCGGGCCUUGUACACACCGCCCGUCAAGUCACGAAAGUUGGUAACACCCGAAGCCGAUGGCCUAACCACCUUGUGUGGGGGGAGUCGUCGAAG
rnacentral:rRNA from 1 species